rnacentral:rRNA from 1 species
GGCUUAACACAUGCAAGUCGAGCGCCCAGCAAUGGGAGCGGCGGACGGGUGAGUAACACGUGGGAACAUGCCCUUCGGUACGGAACAACUCAGGGAAACUUGAGCUAAUACCGCAUACGCCCUAAUGGGGAAAGAUUUAUCGCCGAAGGAUUGGCCCGCGCCUGAUUAGCUAGUUGGUGAGGUAAUGGCCCACCAAGGCUUCGAUCAGUAGCUGGUUUGAGAGAGCGACCAGCCACACUGGGACUGAGACACGGCCCAGACUCCUACGGGAGGCAGCAGUGGGGAAUCUUGGACAAUGGGCGAAAGCCUGAUCCAGCCAUGCCGCGUGAGUAAUGAAGGCCCUAGGGUUGUAAAACU